rnacentral:lncRNA from 1 species
AUAAUUUAGCAAACUCGAAAUAAAAAAUAAAAAAAUGACCAUAAUUAUGAUAAUAAUAUCAUACGUUGAGAACAUCGAUUAGUUAUUCAAUUAAAUUAUAUUAUAAAUAAAUUUAACGAACUCAAAAUUAAAAAAAAAAUUGCUAUGAUUGUGAAAAUAAAAAGAUAAAAAUAUCGAAAAGAAAAAAUAAAAAGAUCACUAAAGUAUCUAUCACUAAUUGAAUACCCUUGAAAAAUAAAAAUAUCGAAAAUAAUUGCUAUGAUUGUG